AACUUCAAUAGCUCUGCCUCAUCCUUGAUUAUUGCAAUUUUUGCCUGUUCGACUUCUUGUUUUCUAAUUUUAACACCUUCUUCAAAGGUUGAAAUCUUUUUCUUCAAUUUAUCUCUUGCCACUUUCCCAGUUUCCCAGCACGUAUUUGGGCAUUUGACUUUGCUGUCAUAUUCGUCACUUCCAUCACAACAAUCACAUAUAUCGUCGUUCACCCUUGAAGAAAACAAUAAAAGUGGAACGUGCCCUGCAUUUCGACAAUAGAACUUCCCAUUCGGGCAUGCAGAUGUGCCAGGUU
rnacentral:misc_RNA from 1 species